rnacentral:rRNA from 1 species
GUAGGUGGCAAGCGUUGUCCGGAAUUAUUGGGCGUAAAGCGCGCGCAGGCGGUUCUUUAAGUCUGAUGUGAAAGCCCACGGCUCAACCGUGGAGGGUCAUUGGAAACUGGAGAACUUGAGUACAGAAGAGGAAAGCGGAAUUCCACGUGUAGCGGUGAAAUGCGUAGAGAUGUGGAGGAACACCAGUGGCGAAGGCGGCUUUCUGGUCUGUAACUGACGCUGAGGCGCGAAAGCGUGGGGAGCAAACAGGAUUAGAUACCCUGGUAGUCCACGCCGUAAACGAUGAGUGCUAAGUGUUAGGGGGUUUCCCGCCCCCUUAGUGCUGCAGCUAACGCAUUAAGCACUCCGCCUGGGAGUACGGCCGCAAGGCUG